rnacentral:rRNA from 1 species
GACGAACGCUGGCGGCGUGCCUAACACAUGCAAGUCGACAUGAGUGGCGAACGGGUUAGUAAUACGUGGGGAACCUGCCCUCCUUUUUGGGAUAAGCCUCGGAAACGGGGUCUAAUACCGCAUUAAGAGCGAUGGGCUCGCGGCCUGUCAGCUUGGUGGUGGGGUGCUGGCCUGCCAAGGCGGUGACGGGUUGCCGGCCUGAGCGGCUGAACGGCAAAAUUGAGACGGAAAUACGGCCCAGGCUCGUACGGGAGGCAGCAGUGGGGGAUAUUGGACAAGGGGCGAAGGCCUGAUGCAGCGACGCCGCGGGGGGGAUGAAGGCUUUCGGGUUGUAAACCUCUUUCGCUAUCGAACGGGUAGGUGGAGAAGAAGCGCCGGCUAACUACGUGCCAGCAGCCGCGGUAAUUC